GCUUACGGCCAUACCACCUUAGGCACGCCCGAUCUCGUCUGAUAUAGGAAGUUAAGCAGGGUCGGGCCUGGUUAGUACUUGGAUGGGUGACCGCCUGGGAAUACCAGGUGCUUUAAGCA
rnacentral:rRNA from 1 species